rnacentral:misc_RNA from 1 species
UAAUAAGUGUUUUAUGGCACUUUUUAAAUCCAUAUCCACCUUGUGUGCAAUGUUGGUCGAUCUUCUUUUUUUGAGGAUCGACCAAACAUCAACCUUUAUCUUUUAACUCUUUGUCUGAAAAAUAUUAUGAAUAAACAAUUCAAAAUA